rnacentral:rRNA from 1 species
UACGUAGGGGGCAAGCGUUGUCCGGAAUUAUUGGGCGUAAAGCGCGUGUAGGCGGCCAGAAAAGUCCGCUGUGAAAACUCGAGGCUCAACUUCGAGCUGUCGGUGGAAACUUUCUGGCUAGAGUCCGGAAGAGGAGAAUGGAAUUCCUGGUGUAGCGGUGAAAUGCGCAGAUAUCAGGAAGAACACCCGUGGCGAAGGCGGUUCUCUGGGCAUUACCUGACGCUGAGGAGCGAAAGCAUGGGGGAGCGAACAGG